AUAGGAAAUAUUAUGAGAGCUUGUAUAAUACUUCACAAUGUGAUAGUUGAAGACGAACGAGAUGGAUAUACUCAU
rnacentral:sRNA from 1 species